rnacentral:rRNA from 1 species
GACGAACGCUGGCGGCGUGCUUAACACAUGCAAGUCGAACGAUGAAGUUCCUUCGGGAAUGGAUUAGUGGCGAACGGGUGAGGAACACGUGAGAAACCUGCCUUUCAUUUUGGGAUAACUCCGGGAAACCGGGGCUAAAACCGAAUACUCCGUCUCGGCGGCAUCGCUGAGCCGGGAAAAAAUUUUGAUGAAAGAUGGUCUCGCGGCCUAUCAGCUAGUUGGUGAGGUAAUGGCUCACCACGGCAACGACGGGUAGCCGGCCUGAGAGGGCGGCCGACCACACUGGGACUGGGACACUGCCCAGACUCCUACGGGAGGCAGGAGUGGGGAAUAUUGGGCAAUGGGCGCAAGCCUGACCCAGCGACGCCGCGUGAGGGAUGAAGGCCUUCGAGUUGUAAACCUCUUUCAGUAGGGAAGAAGCGAAAGUGACGGUACCUAAAGAAGAAGCACCGGCUAACUAUGUGCCAGCCGCCGCCGUAA